AAGGCAUCGCUUGGAGAGGAUGGCUCCACAAGGUGUUCAUUCUGGACUUCGUGUUCGCUAGCCAGUUUCUCCUCCUUCAGCCUCUACGGACACCAGACCAUCGAAAAACACUCCAAAGAAGCAGGGCACCAUAAAGUCAAGAAGAUGGGAUCACAAUCAAAAUAGGUAGCUUCUUCAAUCACCUGAUAAAUCAAAAAAGGACCUGCAUCGCCAUUUGCAGUUCAGAAUGUGUAUAGCAAAGGCUAUUAUUAAGCUAAAACUAGUCAUCAACAUCUAACUAAACGUGACUGCCAAAUGAAGUAAAAUGAAGACUAUAUAACCUGUUUUAAUCUGAAAACUGAAGAGAAGGCUGCAUAACCUCUUGAGCGCCCGUAUUUAUCAACUCAAACAAGACUGAAAAAGGGACUCAGGCAAGAAUUUUUCAGAGAGAGAGAGAGAGAGAGAGAGAGAGAGAGAGAGAGAGAGAGAGAGAGAGAGAGACUCAUGUAGGUGGAUGCCACACGAUCCAACAAUCCUUACCUGCAUCUGAAGACCAGUCCUUCCAAAUUAUCCAUAUAAUAAACGCCAAGCAAGAAAAAUCAUACCACCCGUACCCAACAGAACCUGCACAGCAGAAACAGGCAAACCUAGUCGAUGCCAGAGGUAAUUCAAUUUAACUCUAGAUCCGAAUGAUAUCAAGCCAUCUACUUGCAACAUUAAGGCUGGGAGACACUAUAAGCCCAGUCUACGCACUAUGACAUCCUUUGUGAUUUUC
rnacentral:lncRNA from 1 species